CAAUAGCGUAUAUUAAAGUUGUUGCGGUUAAAAGACUCGUAGUUGGAUUUCUGCUGAGGAUGACCGGUCCGCUUUCCGAGUGUGUAUCUGGCUCAGCCUUGGCAUCUUCCUGAAGAACGUAUCUGCACUUGACUGUGUGGUGCGGUAUUUAGGACAUUUACUUUGAGGAAAUUAGAGUGUUUCAAGCAAGCGCACGCCUUGAAUACAUUAGCAUGGAAUAAUAAGAUAGGACCUCGGUUCUAUUUUGUUGGUUUCUAGAGCUGAGGUAAUGAUUGAUAGGGAUAGUUGGGGGCAUUCGUAUUUAACUGUCAGAGGUGAAAUUCUUGGAUUCGCUCAAGACUAACUUAUGCGAAAGCAUUCACCAAGGAUGUCUUCUUUAAUCAAGAACGAAAGUU
rnacentral:rRNA from 1 species